AGAUGCUCAGUGAGGAUGAAUAAUCUCAGAGCUCCAUGGCACCUGAGCAAAGCUGCAGUCAAAAGCUCCGGAGCAAGUGGACCUUUAGUGGACGAUGUUCAAGGUCAAGAACCUGCAGAGUGAACGUUGUUCAGACCACAGGGCACCUUAUGUGUUUAAAUGUGUGUUAUUGUCACAGUGGACAGGUGAGGACGGGUGAGGACGGGUGAGGACGGGGGAGGAUACGACCCGCAGGUCUCAGCGGACUCCACACACUCCUGUCAUCCCCGCUGUGCUCCGCCUCGCCGGCUGCAGCACUCAGCCAUGAAAGCAGCAGGAGAAGGUGCAGAACAGAACAUAGAGAAGCCCUCUGUCACACCUGACAGGUGACGAACAACAGGAAGUCCUGGACCGACCCACAGAGACCCUGGAGACCUGGACGGACUGACGCCCCUGCAGCUGAUCUUAUAUCUCGGUCUCUGCAGAUCUGGCUUCUCUGGGGUCGUGUGAGAUCAACGUUUUAUUUUCAAACCGUGACCUUUGACCGCUUUGAUGACGCCACUACCUGUGCAGUUUGGCGCCAGCUGGAAGCGUCACAGCGGCCAGGUGAGCGUGCGGAGGGCGGACAGGUGUCAGAGACGCUGUGUGUUUGGAUUCACCUGUUUGAUGAAGACGCGUACUGACGUCACAUUCCUCAGGUGAGUC